UAACACAUGCAAGUCGAGCGGAAAGGCCACUUCGGUGGUACUCGAGCGGCGAACGGGUGAGUAACACGUGAGUAAUCUGCCCCUGGCUUCGGGAUAGCCACCGGAAACGGUGAUUAAUACCGGAUAUGACAGACCCUCGCAUGGGGGUGUGUGGAAAGUUUUUCGGCCAGGGAUGUGCUCGCGGCCUAUCAGCUUGAUGGUGAGGUAAUGGCUCACCAUGGCUUCGACGGGUAGCCGGCCUGAGAGGGUGACCGGCCACACUGGGACUGAGACACGGCCCAGACUCCUACGGGAGGCAGCAGUGGGGAAUAUUGGACAAUGGGCGGAAGCCUGAUCCAGCAACGCCGCGUGAGGGAUGACGGCCUUCGGGUUGUAAACCUCUUUCAGUACCGACGAAGCGCAAGUGACGGUAGGUACAGAAGAAGCACCGGCCAACUACGUGCCAGCAGCCGCGGUAAUACGUAGGGUGCGAGCGUUGUCCGGAAUUAUUGGGCGUAAAGGGCUCGUAGGCGGUUUGUCGCGUCGGGAGUGAAAACGCCGUGCUUAACACGGCGCUUGCUUCCGAUACGGGCAGACUAGAGGUAUUCAGGGGAGAACGGAAUUCCUGGUGUAGCGGUGAAAUGCGCAGAUAUCAGGAGGACACCGUGGCGAAGCGGUUCUCUGGGAUGACCUGACGCUGAGGAGCGA
rnacentral:rRNA from 1 species